rnacentral:lncRNA from 1 species
AUAGGAAAUGAGGGCUUAGAGAAUAACGUAUCUGGGGUCCCCUUUUUAUAGGUGGAGUGUGCAAUAGAUGAUAGCGACGUUUGUAACCGUCUGGCAGUGGGCCGUUCGGAGUCAGGAGGAGUUUGUUAUGAAACGUAAUGGAGUAGAAUCAUGGCCAUCAUUGCGAUCUGCCAUGUGGAGUCUGUUGCAGGGAGUGAAGCGACGUCUGUUGUCGCAACUUACCAGAGGCUGGAGGAGCUACGUGGUAUCCAUCGCAGGAAGUGGAGCAGAGUCGUGGCCGUUACUGUGGCCUGUCAGGGAGUAAUGG